rnacentral:rRNA from 1 species
AUGGGGGAAGGAGGCGGUAGAGGCAGGGCUUGCCGGCGGUGGUGCCAUGGAGGUGGAGCAGAGGUUGGGGCAAAGCAGAGGAGGAGGCUUGGGCGCUGGAGCUUGGGGGCGCGGCGCGGCUCCUAUGGGUGGCGGUGCGAGGUAGAUGGUGAGGGAGAGACAAGGGGAUCGAGCACGACACAAGGGGAUCGGGCGUCGGGUUAUGGCGAUGCCCCUCUCUCUAUGCGUGUGUGGCGGCACCAGGAAGAAGGAGGGGAUCGAGAGGGAGAGAGGCUGAGCGAGGCUAGGGUUACAGCGGGGGCGGCCGGGCCAAGGGCCAUGAUGCAUAUGGGCCGGCCUGGCUGGGCUGUAGGAAGACUACGGAGAGAGAAGGAGAUGGGCCUACCUGGAAAACUGAAUUGGUCUUCCAUUUAUAAAAUAAAGAGAGCUUUGGAGAAAAGAAAGAGAGAGUUAGAAAAAGAAUUAGACCAACGGAAAUAUUUUCCUUGGACCAAGAAAAUAUGA